AAUUAAAUAUAUUUUCAUCAUCCGUCAUUUCUUCUUCUUCUUUUUUUUUUUUUCUGCAGGUGCCAGGGUAAUAAAUCUAAACUCGCCUCUUUUGUCAGCUGGCAGUGAACACAUUUUAACUUGAGAUCUCUUGGGAGGAAUUAAGAGUCACUUGGCCUUGUAAAGGAGAAAGGGUUUUUACUUCCAAACUGCCAAGUGGGGAGCUCACAGCUGAUUGGCUUCAUGAUACUUUAUUAUUUGACAAUAUAUACGCGUCAGGUUGUAUUUCAGAAUACCACACCUACAGGAUAACCAGGGCUCCAAGAGAUCCAUCAUCGGAUUCUAGAAUAAAAACCUAUUUGAGAAGAUUUUCACCACUAUUUCUUUUUAUGAAUCCUAGAUUUAAUGUAUUAUUGACUUAGGUUUAUUCCAAUAUUUUAGAACUUUUUCAGCAUUCUUCAAAUCCCCCCACAGCCCUUUUUCUCCUUGUAGCACUUCACAGGCAAAGCUGGUGCUGCGCCGCCUGCAGCCCGAGUUAAGUGUUUUCGAUUGGCCCGAGGAGUUUGGUUGACUUUUUAUUUUGACAGUUUAACGGCUCCUGCUCCCCAGGGGCAGCCUCACGUUCCUUAGUUUGCAGCCUGAUGGAACUGCACCCCAGCCUCUCUGCCUUUCUUCCCUCUCGCAGCAGCAGCAGACAGGAAACCCUCGCCUUGUCCUCCAUCUAUGAAUCCUCAAACACUAACGCCUAAGGCUGGUGACAAGGGACAGGUGAAGAAGAGGAAGGCUUUGAAUAGGCUUCCUUGGCGGGGAAGAAACGACUUUACUAAGCUAAGAAGACCAAGGACCUUGAACGAUGGUGGGUCCCACAGCCAUUCCACACAGUGGGGUGCUACCUGACACAGUUCCAAAGGAGACACUAGGGAGAGCACAGCAUUAGGGGCUCCCCCAUCAAAGCCCCCGCAAGCUUUGAUUCAGAAGCUGAGAAGCCAAUUCGGGAGGCCAUGUGGAUAUGAAGAGGUCUCGGAAGAGCUGAGAGAACUGGAAGGUAGGCCCCACCCACUCCUCACACAGGUAAGAAAGAAAUCCACGGACAACAAAUAAAGUCAACGCGUGAGAUGGCUCACUUGCACCUGCUGCCAAGGCUGACUGGCCUGAGUCUGAUCCCCAGGACUCAAGUGGUUGUCCUCUGAAUUCCAGAUAUAUGCUGUGGUGUGCACUUGCACGUG
rnacentral:lncRNA from 1 species